GCCUAUCAGCUUGUUGGUGAGGUUACGGCUCACCAAGGCGACGACGGGUAGCCGGCCUGAGAGGGUGACCGGCCACACUGGGACUGAGAUACGGCCCAGACUCCUACGGGAGGCAGCAGUGGGGAAUAUUGCACAAUGGGCGCAAGCCUGAUGCAGCGACGCCGCGUGAGGGAUGACGGCCUUCGGGUUGUAAACCUCUUUCGCCAGGGACGAAGCGCAAGUGACGGUACCUGGAGAAGAAGGACCGGCCAACUACGUGCCAGCAGCCGCGGUAAUACGUAGGGUCCGAGCGUUGUCCGGAAUUACUGGGCGUAAAGAGCUCGUAGGUGGUUUGUCGCGUUGUCCGUGAAAACUCACAGCUCAACUGUGGGCGUGCGGGCGAUACGGGCAGACUAGAGUACUGCAGGGGAGACUGGAAUUCCUGGUGUAGCGGUGGAAUGCGCAGAUAUCAGGAGGAACACCGGUGGCGAAGGCGGGUCUCUGGGCAGUAACUGACGCUGAGGAGCGAAAGCGUGGGGAGCGAACAGGAUUAGAUACCCUGGUAGUCCACGCCGUAAACGGUGGGUACUAGGUGUGGGUUUCCUUCCUUGGGAUCCGUGCCGUAGCUAACGCAUUAAGUACCCCGCCUGGGGAGUACGGCCGCAAGGCUAAAACUCAAAGAAAUUGACGGGGGCCCGCACAAGCGGCGGAGCAUGUGGAUUAAUUCGAUGCAACGCGAAGAACCUUACCUGGGUUUGACAUGCACAGGACGCCGGCAGAGAUGUCGGUUCCCUUGUGGCCUGUGUGCAGGUGGUGCAUGGCUGUCGUCAGCUCGUGUCGUGAGAUGUUGGGUUAAGUCCCGCAACGAGCGCAACCCUUAUCUUAUGUUGCCAGCGCGUAAUGGCGGGGACUCGUGAGAGACUGCCGGGGUCAACUCGGAGGAAGGUGGGGAUGACGUCAAGUCAUCAUGCCCCUUAUGUCCAGGGCUUCACACAUGCUAC
rnacentral:rRNA from 1 species